rnacentral:lncRNA from 1 species
GAGAGAGAGAGAGAGAGAGAGAGGAGAGAGAAACGACGGCCAUACUUCUGGUGUCUGCUGCUUGCCCUCAGAGCAGAGAAAACGAUGUGACCAUCAAACGCAGCCGCCGAAAGCCCCGUGGCGGGGGAGGGGACUGUUCCUCCAGGACGGCACCUGUUCUUCACAGAGAAACAGUUCCUCUCUCUCUCCCGCCAUGGAAGGAGCGCUAGAGCUCAACGUGGCCGACGGAGGACCCAUUGGACGGCCUCUCGUGAGUUCGGCGACCUCCAAAUCGCCUGCGGUUUCCGAUCUGAUGGGGCUGUGCAGAGCAGCGAAAUAUCAACCAA